AAUUACCCAUAAAUUUCACAUACAAGACAAAUUAAAAGAUAUAAAUUCGCAAGGGAAUUUUAGGGCGUUACAAGACACGUCAUAAAAACCGAAUAUAUCCACGUAUCAGUCAACACAUGCCAACAACACACAUGCAAAAUCACAUCCAAGAAAAUCAUCAAUGAACGGGGAAGUACAUCUAUGCGGAUAAAAUCAACAGCACAUCACAAGUUAAUCAAAACAAAUAAAUCAAUAUGUUGAGGUUUGAAAUUGACAUUUAGAGAGUCGCUAGAGUGGUUGCGAAGCUGCUGGAAUGGCGGUGAUAGUUAUGGACAAUGUUGGCCAGGAUUCACGUGCUGCCACCACUGCUAGUGCAUGAAAACACGUGUUGUCGCUAUUAGGGGUGCAUCUUUAGGCAGAUCUAAAGCACCUCCUCUUCCUCUUUCUUCCUAUGUCGGCAGUGUUUCACAACGCUACUUGAGAGGAGAGAUCUAGCUAGUCCGUCAUGUAAAUACUGGAAAUCAAGUGGUUGACGGUGGUGCAUGGUUUGGUGGUGGAGAAAGAGGGAAAAGAGGGUUGUUUUGUUGGAUGUACAGGAGAUUUGGCCGGAAAUCACCCAGGUUGCAAGAGAGAGAGGGUCGAGCCCCAUUUCUUCUUCUUUUUUUCCAGAAAGAGUUAUUCUUCUUCUUCUUUUUCUUUGCUCUUGUUUUUUCUUCUCCUGAAUUUUUGUUUUUUGGUCUUUCUUUAUAUGUUUUUCCUAUCUCUGGUUUUCUCUCUGGUCUCUUAGUGUGUUCUUUGUUUUCACGUGAAUUCUUCUUAAUGUGAUCAACUUGUGAGUUCGGGGCGAAUUUCAAUAA